rnacentral:pre_miRNA from 1 species
GUAGUAUUCCCUCCGUCCCAAAAUUCUUGUCUUACAUUUAUUUCGAUACGGAUGUAUCUAACACUAAAAUGUAACUAGAUACAUCCGUAUUUAGACAAAUUUAAGACAAGAAUUUUGGGACGGAGGGAGUACAAA